rnacentral:misc_RNA from 1 species
AAAAAAAAAGGAAGAAGAAGAAGCCGAUUUGCAAAAAGUUAUUUUAUCUCCCUAAACUUUAAAUUGUGGAGUAAUUUAACUCCUAAGAUCUCAAUAUAUGCUAUGCGCCAUUAAGGAGUGAAGAUGAUUAAUUAUGAUUACAUAAUAAAAAUGCAACGGUUGAGUCUCUUACCCUUCAAUCUUCAAGAUGCUGAGCAAGACUGUACCCUUCAAUCUCGCUCAAAGUUUAAGCACAAAAUCUAGCUAAAACCCAUAAUCAAAUAAAACCCCAUCCACACCAACGACUCAAUAGUAAGCGGCCACCCAUAAAUCAUAAAGCCAAACCUUUAAUAAUAAUAAUAAGAAGAAGAAUUAAAAAAAAAUUAAAA